ACAACAGGUGGAGCCUGGCGGUUUAAUCGGACUCAACGCCGGGAAGCUCACCGGAUAAGACAGCGGAAUGAUAGCCGGGCUGAAGACUCUGCUUGACUAGCUGAGAGGAGGUGCAUGGCCGUCGUCAGUUCGUACUGUGAAGCAUUCUGUUAAGUCAGGCAACGAGCGAGACCCACGCCAACAGUUGCCAGCAUGUCCUCCGGGAUGGUGGGGACACUGUUGGGACCGCCUCUGCUAAAGAGGAGGAAGGAAUGGGCAACGGUAGGUCAGCAUGCCCCGAAUUAUCCGGGCUACACGCGGGCUACAAUGGUCAGGACAAUGGGCAUCAACACCGAAAGGUGAAGGCAAUCUCUUAAACCUGUCCUUAGUUCGGAUUGUGGGCUGCAACUCGCCCACAUGAAGCUGGAAUCUGUAGUAAUCGUGUCUCAAAAUGGCACGGUGAAUAUGUCCCUGCUCCUU
rnacentral:rRNA from 1 species